GACCUGGAAGCCCUAUACAGGAGAGUAUCCUAAAAAAGAGGAAGAGGGGAGAAAAGACAGGGGGAAAAGCUGAAGAUGGACCCAGCACGUCCUAUAACACUGAGAUGGAACAGCUGUCAGUGACAACCCCAGCAGAAACCCCCAUCAUUGUGACUGGACUGGAAAGCUUCACCUUCCAUAAAAUUCUUGGAGAGGGUGCUUUUGGUAAAGUCAUGCUGGCCACACAUCCCGACUGCCAACAACAACUGGCAGUGAAGCUGGUGAAGAAGAGGGUCCUGCUUCAGA